ACGUAGGGACCAAGCGUUGUUCGGAUUUACUGGGCGUAAAGGGCGCGUAGGCGGCGUGACAAGUCACUUGUGAAAUCUCUGGGCUUAACCCAGAACGGCCAAGUGAAACUGUUGUGCUAGAGUGCAGAAGGGGCAAUCGGAAUUCUCGGUGUAGCGGUGAAAUGCGUAGAUAUCGAGAGGAACACCAGAGGUGAAGACGGGUUGCUGGGCUGACACUGACGCUGAGGCGCGAAAGCCAGGGGAGCAAACGGG
rnacentral:rRNA from 1 species